rnacentral:rRNA from 1 species
UACAGAGGGGGCAAGCGUUGUUCGGAAUUACUGGGCGUAAAGGGCGCGUAGGCGGCCUUCUAAGUCGAACGUGAAAUCCCCGGGCUCAACCCGGGAACUGCGUCCGAUACUGGGGGGCUUGAAUCCGGGAGAGGGAUGUGGAAUUCCAGGUGUAGCGGUGAAAUGCGUAGAUAUCUGGAGGAACACCAAUGGCGAAGGCAGCUCGCUGGGACGUGACUGACGCUGAGACGCGAAAGCGUGGGGAGCAAACAGG